rnacentral:rRNA from 1 species
GACGAACGCUGGCGGCGUGCCUAACACAUGCAAGUAGGACGCAGUUGCGAAAGGGUGAGUAACGCGUCGGUCACUAACUAUUAGAGGGGGAUAACUGUUGGUAACGAUAACUAAUACCGCAUACUUGUAGCUGGAACUGCGUUGGAUUAGCUAGUAGGUAGGGUAAUGGCCUACCGAGGCAAGGAUACAUAGCAGACCUGAGAGGAUGAGCGGCCAACCUGGGACUGAGACCCGGCCCAGACGCCUACGGGAGGCAGCAGUGGGGAAUCUUCGGAAAUGGGGGAAACCCUGACCGAGCAACGCCGCGUGAGUGAAGAAGGUCUUCGGAUCGUAAAGCUCUGUUGUUAAGGAAGCGGUACUUAACCAGAAAGCGACGGCUAACUACGUGCCAGCAGCCGCGGUAAUAC